UACGAGUGCCCCAAGCGUUAUCCGGAAUCACUGGGCGUAAAGCGUGUGUAGGUGGAUGUGUUAGUCUCUCGUUAAAUUCUUCGGCUUAACCGGGGGCAUGCGAGGGAAACGGCACAACUAGAGGAUGCAAGGGGUCUGCGGAACUCAUGGAGUAGGGGUGAAAUCCGUUGAUAUCAUGGGGAACACCAAAAGCGAAGGCAGCAGACUGGUGCAUUCCUGACACUGAAACACGAAAGCGUGGGUAGCGAAUGGG
rnacentral:rRNA from 1 species